rnacentral:lncRNA from 1 species
UUUCAAAAUGCCCGCUUCCCUGCUCCUCUCUCUCUCUCUCUCUCUCCCUGGCGAUUCCAGAUCUGGAUCUGGAUCUAGGGUUUUUCUCCAUCACGUUUCUACUACUCCAAUUGCUCAUGGAAAUCAUUGGAAUCAAACUCAAGUCUAGGUUUUGAAAUUCACGGAGAGUUGAAGAUGAUGCAAGCUGUUGUUUUAAUUGGUGGUGGUUAGCAACGAUAGAGAUGGUGGUGGUCUGCGGCUUGUGGUGGUAAUGGUUAGCGUCAACUGGUGACCCAACCUAGGGUUUAGAGUUUCGACCAGAUUCUUCUGGUAGCCCUAUCUAGGGCUCUGACCAUAACCCUAAUCCGGUGAAAGUUGUAGAUCUGUGUUGGGCGCUCCGGAGUUUGAUGAUAUUUUACCAAGUUGGACUUACUUUGAGAACAAGGAUCCUGCUGAACAAGAGUCACUGAUUUCUGAUGUUCAUGAUGUGACCGCAAAUGCAGCUUCUGUUAUUGAUGUCUGCAUGCUAAGAAAUGCAGAAUCCUCUGCUGUUGAUGGAGAUAGUUUGAAUCCACAUGUAUGCUUAUACUGCUAUAUGAACAUGAUGAAAAAUUGCAGAGAAGAGCCGGGGGCAUUUAGUGCAGAGUAACCGUAUGCAUCUUAGACCGAAGUUCAGCCCGCACAUGGAAGUCGAUCCUUGUGAGGACUUGACUGAUAAUGACAUACUAAACUGUUAUGCCAUGAGGUUAAGCUGGAGCUUCAUAUACGGAUGAAUGGGUCAAACGGGUCAGAUGUGUUGCAGCACUGGGUCAUUUGUUGCUAGGGUUGUUUUUAAGUUGUUUUCUACACGUACAGGUGGUGGGGUUUUAGGAUUUUAAGUGAUCUUGGGAUCCAAUAUUGAAGGUAACGAGUUAAGGGCUGCUGCAUGUUGGUUCUUAUUUAGUAAGGGGCAGAUGAGGUAUCUCGGAAACUAUGUUCAUGGACUCAGUAAAAAGCCUCUCAGUAUCAGCGUGUGGAAAGGUUUUUUUUCACGGUUGUGUGGUCGAAAUUCAGGUUAAUUGUGUUUGUUCUUUGUAAAAUAGUUUUACGCAUCUAUGAUACAAAUGAAGAAAGAAUCACAUUCUCUUACAUGGUUAACAAACUUUUUUAAACUCCGAGGAAUGGUUCAUGAUCUGUUGAAUUAAAUCAAAAUUUAUUUCUUAGUUCCAUGUGUUUCACCAUCUUUUGACUUUUUAAAUUGCAGAUCCAUGGCUUGCAUAUGCACUUAUAAAGAAUAAUCCAGAAUAUGCUGCAAAGGUAGUUCUAUAAGCCUUGUAACAGAUAACUUUUUAACUAAGAUAUGAAUUAUAGGUACCCAAGGGAAACCCGUAUCACAAUGCCACUUUUGGAGGAAUGGCAAUAUAUUGCUCUAAUAGCAUGAUUCUAAGAAAGGUGAAUCGUCAUUGGUGGGGGAAGAUACCCAGAACCAUUACCUAUCUGACAGGUUUCGAGUUUAACUUGGUUGACCGGACCCCAGGCUUACGAUUUAUAUAAAGUUACCUUAUAAUAUGUAAUUUCUUCCUCAUUUAUUGUAUAGAAAAAAGGCAACUAAGGAAUUAUAUGUUACCCAUGGCUUUAUAGCCUAGUGGUAUCUUGGGGUGAGAUAAGACUUUAGACCAAUAGGUCCUGAGUUCGAUUCUCAUAAAAGGGGGUUUUCCCAUAUUUAUUGGGUUUCCUCCUGAAAUGGUGUAUAGGCAUUAUGCUUAGUGGAGAUGGAUAUGAUCGGGUGGUUCUGCUGGUGGCACGAUGAUACUCCAGUAGUCCGUCAGUGAUCCAAAUUUGCCGUUCAAAAAAAAAAAAAAAAAAAAAAAAAAAAAAAAAAAAAAAAAAAAAAAAAAAAAGGAAUUAUAUGUUUUUCCUAGCUGCAACUAUUAUUCAAGUGAAGUUGCAUUGGAACAAAGCAAAUUUUGAAGGGUUCCAAACUCCAAAUGUGUGCUGGAUUCAUAAGGGUUACUAGAGUAAAUAUAUUUUAAAAAGAAUUGAAUACAACUGGUUUUGUU